CGUACGCUGGCGGCACGCCUAACACCAUGCAAGUCGAACGCAGUAGCAAUACUGAGUGGCAGACGGGUGAGUAACAUGUGGGAAUCUGCCUUGUGGUUCAGGACAACAUUGGGAAACCGAUGCUAAUACUGGAUAAGCCCUUACGGGGAAAGUUUUAAUGCCAUAAGAUGAGCCCGCAUUUGAUUAGUUAGUUGGUGAGGUAAUGGCUCACCAAGACAAUGAUCAAUAGCUGAUCUGAGAGGAUGAUCAGCCACACUGGGACUGAGACACGGCCCAGACUCCUACGGGAGGCAGCAGUGGGGAAUCUUGCACAAUGGAGGAAACUCUGAUGCAGCGAUGCCGCGUGAGUGAAGAAGGCCUUUGGGUUGUAAAGCUCUUUUGUAGGGGAAGAUAAUGACUGUACCCUAAGAAUAAGGUCCGGCUAACUUCGUGCCAGCAGCCGCGGUAAUACGAAGGGACCUAGCGUAGUUCGGAAUUACUGGGCGUAAAGCGCGCGUAGGCCGUUGAGUUAGUUAAUUGUGAAAUCCCAAAGCUUAACUUUGGAACUGCAAUUAAAACUGCUCGACUAGAGUUUGAUAGAGGAAAGCGGAAUACAUAGUGUAGAGGUGAAAUUCGUAGAUAUUAUGUAGAACACCAGUUGCGAAGGCGGCUUUCUGGAUCAACACUGACGCUGAGGCGCGAAAGUAUGGGUAGCAAAGAGGAUUAGAUACCCUCGUAGUCCAUACCAUAAACGAUGAUUGCUAGAUGUUGGAAAUUUAUUUUCAGUAUCGCAGCUAACGCAUUAAGCAAUCCGCCUGGGGAGUACGACCGCAAG
rnacentral:rRNA from 1 species